rnacentral:lncRNA from 1 species
UUUGUCAUGUAGUCGAAGUUCAGCCAUCUCUUUCUUUGUUUAGAUAUUUUUACACCUUCAAGUGCCACCCCUCGGUGAAGGACUGGUGGUAUUUCUCCUCCCAGUUUGGCAAGAAAGGGUUGCUGAAAGGUGCUCCCUCUUCAAUCCAUAGCUGGAAGGGGAAGUACCUUUUUAUCCACUGUCCGACCUUGAGGCUGGGAUUGCCCCCUUGGGGCUCCCUAAGGGACUCUGUCCACCGGGCUCCUAGCCUGGGGGAGGACAAUCUUCAGGCCA